CGGCGAGUGAAGCGGCAACAGCUCAAAUUUGAAAUCUGGCUCCUUCGGGGUCCGAGUUGUAAUUUGUAGAGGGUGUUUCGGGUGCGAUGCCGGUCUAAGUUCCUUGGAACAGGACGUCGUAGAGGGUGAGAAUCCCGUAUGCGACCGGCGAUCAAGCCCGUGCGAAGCCCCUUCGACGAGUCGAGUUGUUUGGGAAUGCAGCUCAAAAUGGGUGGUAAAUUUCAUCUAAAGCUAAAUACUGGCCAGAGACCGAUAGCGGACAAGUAGAGUGAUCGAAAGAUGAAAAGCACUUUGGAAAGAGAGUCAAACAGUACGUGAAAUUGUUGAAAGGGAAGCGCUUGCAAUCAGACCGGUCCGGAGGCGAUCAGCCGCUGCUCGUCAGCGGUGCACUCGCCUGCGAUCCGGCCAGCAUCGGUUUGGGCGGCGGGAUAAAAGUCCCGGGAAUGUAGCUUCCUCCGGGGAGUCUUAUAGCCCGGGUCGCAAUGCCGCCCGCCCGGACCGAGGACCGCGCUUCGGCUAGGAUGCUGGCGUAAUGGUUGCAAGCGACCCGUCUUGAAACACGGACCAAGGAGUCUAACAUCUAUGCGAGUGUUUGGGUGUCAAACCCAGGCGCGGAAUGAAAGUGAACGGAGGUGGGAACCCGUCAGACGGCGCACCAUCGACCGAUCCAGAUGUCUUCGGAUGGAUUUGAGUAUGAGCAUAGCUGUUGGGACCCGAAAGAUGGUGAACUAUGCCCGGAUAGGGUGAAGCCAGAGGAAACUCUGGUGGAGGCUCGCAGCGGUUCUGACGUGCAAAUCGAUCGUCAAAUCUAGGCAUAGGGGCGAAAGACCAAUCGAACCAUCUAGUAGCUGGUUCCUGUCGAAGUUUCCCUCAGGAUAGCAGUAACGUUUUCAGUUUUAUGAGGUAAAGCGAAUGAUUAGAGGCCUUGGGGCUGAAACAGCCUUAACCUAUUCUCAAACUUUAAAUAUGUAAGAAGUCCUUGUUACUUAGUUGAACGUGGACAUUUGAAUGCACCGUUACUAGUGGGCCAUUUUUGGUAAGCAGAACUGGCGAUGCGGGAUGAACCGAACGCGAGGUUAAGGUGCCGGAAUGCACGCUCAUCAGACACCACAAAAAGUGUCAAUUCAUCCAGACAGCCGGACGGUGGCCAUGGAAGUCGGAAUCCGCUAAGGAGUGUGUAACAACUCACCGGCCGAAUGAAUUGGCCUUGAAAAU
rnacentral:rRNA from 1 species